rnacentral:rRNA from 1 species
CUACGGGGGGCUGCAGUGGGGAAUAUUGCACAAUGGGCGCAAGCCUGAUGCAGCCAUGCCGCGUGUAUGAAGAAGGCCUUCGGGUUGUAAAGUACUUUCAGCGGGGAGGAAGGGAGUAAAGUUAAUACCUUUGCUCAUUGACGGUACCUGCAGAAGAAGCACCGGCUAACUCCGUGCCAGCAGCCGCGGUAAUACGGAGGUUGCAAGCGUUAACGGAAUUAUUGGGCGUAAAGCGCACGCAGGCGGUUUGUUAAGUCAGAUGUGAAAUCCCCGGGCUCAACCUGGGAACUGCAUCUGAUACUGGCAAGCUGGAGUCUCGUAGAGGGAGGUAGAAUUCCAGGUGUAGCGGUGAAAUGCGUAGAGAUCUGGAGGAACACCGGUGGCGAAGGCGGCCCCCUGGACGAAGACUGACGCUCAGGUGCGAAAGCGUGGGGAGCAAACAGGAUUAGAUACCCUCGUAGUC